CAUACGUUUCUCUCUCAAGCACUUUCUCAAACUAAAGAGAAAACUUCUUUCUUUCAACAAAUCUUCUUCAAAAACUCUUCUAACUCCUAAACAAGAGAAAAUCCAGCCUUAUUAGCGCUCUUAAAACACACAAGAAUGUAGAAACAAGCUUUCAUUAAAACCCUAUUCUCGGAUUCCUCCAAAGACCCAAUUUUUCACAUGCAAGUUUGAGCCAAAAGUGAGGUUUUUUUUACAUUUUUGGAGUCCAAAUCUCAUAACCUAUCUAAGGAGCGUUAGGAUAAGCAUGAUCAAGCCUUCUCAACGGUGGACCUCGCUCUUCUGCAAUAGUAUGAUUUCAAAAAAGGUGAUCCGAACAAUGGAACUAGAACGGCAUGAAGGCGAGCUGAAAGUCCUUGGAGACCAAUGAUGUGAAGUCCAUGUACAUGUCAAGCUAAAGUUGUUAUGAUGAAACACUCUUUUUAUACUUUCAUAGACUCUAUUAAAAUACAUCCAUUUUGAAUUAGUCUUAAUUUAGUCCGAAUGAUAGUAAACAUUGCCUCUUUCUAUUUUUUUAUUUUUUAUUUUUAGACAAAACCUUGAGGAGGAGUUUAAAAAUAUUUAUA